CCUACGGGUGGCAGCAGUGAGGAAUAUUGGUCAAUGGACGAGAGUCUGAACCAGCCAAGUAGCGUGAAGGAUGACUGCCCUAUGGGUUGUAAACUUCUUUUAUAUGGGAAUAAAAUGUUCCACGUGUGGGAUUUUGUAUGUACCAUAUGAAUAAGGAUCGGCUAACUCCGUGCCAGCAGCCGCGGUAAUACAGAUGAUCCGACCGUUAUCCGGAUUUAUUGGGUUUAAAGGGAGCGAAGGUGGAUUGUUACGUCAUUUGUGAAAGUUUGCGGCUCAACCGUAAAAUUGAAGUUGAAACUGGCAGUCUUGAGUACAGUAGAGGUGGGCGGAAUUCGUGGUGUAGCGGUGAAAUGCUGAGAUAUCACGAAGAACUCCGAUUGCGAAGGCAGUUCACUGGACUGCAACUGACACUGAGGCUCGAAAGUGUGGGUAGCAAACAGGAUUAGAUACCCCAGUAGUC
rnacentral:rRNA from 1 species